CUUUGCUCAUGCUGGUAGAAUUUAUUUUUAUUACACUAUAGUAUGCAGCGUGUUUAGACCUUGUAGCCUUUUACAUAUCAGAUGCUGUGGUAGUUAUGGUACUUGGAGGGUUCAUUUAAUCUGUAUAACUUGCCACCUUUUCCAGAUAAAGAAUAUUUGUUAUAAAUCAUGGCUAGCUGUGAAAAACAUUCUUCAAGCACUAUAUAUUAAAGGAACACUCCAAAC